rnacentral:rRNA from 1 species
GAAUAAGAGGUCCAGCCUGCCCUGUGACUAUAUGUUUAACGGCCGCGGUAUUUUAACCGUGCGAAGGUAGCGCAAUCACUUGUCUUUUAAAUGGAGACCUGUAUGAAUGGCAUAACGAGGGCUUAACUGUCUCCUUUUUCAAGUCAAUGAAAUUGAUCUCCCCGUGCAGAAGCGGGGAUAAAUCCAUAAGACGAGAAGACCCUAUGGAGCUUUAGACACCAAAGUAUAUCAUGCUAAACACCCUUAAAUAAAAGAUUAAGCCAAAUGAUCUAUACUCCUAUGUCUUUGGUUGGGGCGACCGCGGGGAAAUAAAAAACCCCCAUGUGGAAUAGGGGCACUGCCCCUACAACCAAGAGCUGCAGCUCUAAUAAACAGAAUUUCUGACCAAUAAGAUCCGGCAACGCCGAUCAACGGACCGAGUUACCCUAGGGAUAACAGCGCAAUCCCCUUUUAGAGCCCAUAUCGACAAGGGGGUUUACGACCUCGAUGUUGGAUCAGGACAUCCUAAUGGUGCAGCCGCUAUUAAGGGUUCGUUUGUUCAACGAUUAAAGUCCUACGUG